AACACACAACCUGAAUAGUGUUGCUGCAUAACGGCAGCAAUAAGUUGUCAGGAAAUGUUCAACUAUUCUUGUUUACAUGAAUGAAAGCUCAAAAUAAUACAGUAAAAUAGCUCUCUAAUGGUCUUCGUAACCAGAAAAAGUACGAUGAACAAUAGUUCAGCACAGAAAAUAUAGUAUAAUGAAAGAAACUCAACAUAUAAACAAGAAAGCCUAUUUUCAACACAGGUAUCCCGGAGUUGAUGCAAAACCGGAAAUAGUAAUGCCUAAUUAUGCAUAGAAACCGCUGAAAUCUGAGCCUAAGUACACUCGCACGAGACAUCGAACUCGUGAAACAAUCUACGUUUAAAAUAUGGCUUUUAUAACUGGAAUACUACGGAAAAAACAAGGUUAAUACUCAAAACUAUCGGAACAUAGGAUGCCGGAAACACUGACAAAAGAGCAAUGGGAACAAGACGCAAAAUGGAGAGUCUACCUAUAUACCGAGGUUGGGUUUUACAAUUAUGUUUUUCACAUAACUGCACAUGGAGAGUCUACCUAUAUACCGAGGUUGGGUUUUGCAAUUAUGUUUUUGACAUAAGUGCGAAAUUGAGAGUUCAUCUUUUAUAGUGGCGUCUGUACCAUGAGGGUACAGAUGUACCCUUUCUAGCCCAAACAUUUAUUCCAUUUUAGAUUGCAGAACAUGUCUUAACGAUUCAACUUUUUAAACUCUUUGUAAAUACUCAAGUGCAGUAAACGCGCGCAUAUGUGAAAAACUGAAACUAAAGAAGCAGUGAAGUUUGUCCAAUUUUCUCUUAGCACCUAAUUAUUGGACAUAUUUGGUUAUCUUUGGACGCUACCCGUAGCUAUAUGCUUAUUGCUUUUAAAGUCCAAGAAUACAAAAAGAAAAUAUUAGGGUUUUUCCAAAUUCUAGAAUUGCAGUUGAGACCUAAAAUUACAAUAUAUUAACUCGCGAAAAAAAAUUAAUAUAUACUUCAAAGAGGCAAAGCGCAUAGCCUGUGUAGAAACGAUGGUGUCAAAAUCAAUUUGAUUGGCCGAAAGAAAGCAGACCUUUAUCAGUAACACACUGUUAUCAUUAGCACUAGGCUGUUUAUCAAACAACGAAAGGGAUUAUUGGUGGUGGUGGGAGCCAGAUUCCUGGUGGUGUCGAUUGAGUUUGUGCAUAUUUUUUUCAAAGUGUUUUUAAAGUGUAUAAAAUUCUUACCAACUGCUAUCCCUUAAGAGGUGUUUAAGGAUUUCCCAAUUCUGCUAUCUUUUAGAGGAAUCACGUCAAGGGUGGCCCUCUAAUCUCCCAAAACGCAUUUUACAGAGUCUAAACCACAAGUCAACUGAUCGGUUAAUACUUCCGGUUUUAUUGUCCGUAACGAUACAGCAUCCAUCAGUCAAUUAAAACGGGCAUUGUUCAAGCGAUGCUAAAUAGAAAUGUCAACCAAAUGGCUUGACAGUUUACAGAAGAAACCACAUCUAUCUGAUUGUGCGCAAAUUAUAUCCAACCUCCUUAAAUCGGUAAACUCUCAACAAGUUAAGUAAAAAAUAUAAUUGCAAAAUCAAACCUUCGCAUAUAGGUUGAACUCUACAUUUCGCACUUAUGUAAAAAAACAUAAUUGCAAAAACCAACCUCGGUAUAUAGGUAAACAUACCAUUUUGCAAUUAUGUCAAAAAGAUAAUUGCAAAACCCAACCUCGGCAUAUAGGUAGACUCUCCAUUUUGCAGUUAUGUCAAAAACAUAAUUGCAAAAACCAACCUUGGUAUAUAGGUGAACCUUCCAUUUUGCAGUUAUGACACAUAAUUGCAAAAACCAACCUCGGUAUAUAGGUAAACCUUUCAUUUUGCAAUUAUGUCAAAAACGUAAUUGCAAAAAACCAACCUCGGCAUAAGGGUAAACCUUCAAUUUUGCAGUUAUGUCAAAAACAUAAUUGCAAAAACCAACCUCGGUACAUAGGUAAACCUUCCAUUUUGCAGUUAUGUCAAAAACAUAAUUGCAAAACCCAACCUCGGUACAUAGGUAAAACUUCCAUUUUGCAGUUAUGUCAAAAACAUAAUUGCAAAAACCGCCCUCGGUAUAUAAGUGUUCUGUAUAUUUUGCAAUAUUUUUUUCCUGAGAAACAUAAUUGCAAAAUGCUAUGAUCCUCUAUAGAAGAAGUUAACUGCGAAAUACAGUCAUUAAAAGUAAAGAAUCUCGUAAAACAAUAAACUAAAGAGUCCUCAUAGAAAUUGUUCUCAUCAAAUCCCAGCCUUGCUUUUGAGAUAGGAAAGGUUAGACCUAAGCAAGUAAAUAGUAGGACGGACAGGCUAUAAACACCGUCUGUCUGCCUGAAUUUAGAAUACAUACGCUAACCUCAAAGCCAACCUCAAUACAUGCCUUUGAGCGACUUCAAACAGAUGCAACCAAACUCAUUUACAAUCAUCAAAAGCUGAAAUAGUCCCUCUGCUUACUUUCAAGAAGUAGUAGUAGUUUUACAACAACAAAGAAAUCUGUCUUUGAGAAUGGUGAUUUUGGAGAGGGGGUUGAUAGCGAGUUAGGCCAAAAGGGGCCCAUAGGUUCUCCCUCGGCUUUGGGGAGUGAGUUGAUAGCGAGUUAGGCCAAGGGGGUCCCAUAGCAAGAGUCCCCCUUUAGUAUAAACAAAUGGUGCUUGAAUAUUCUCCAAAGCAUAGUUUCUAAUUUCUGGUCUGGAUUAGCUGUGCCUUGGCAAGAAGAGCGGAGUGAUCCCAUACGUGGGAGGGGAUGGUAGUUGUUUCAGGGGGAGAGUCUCCUGUAAAGCAUGCUGGGUCAGGGCUAGAGAAAAAUAUGGCGGACACUACACAGGUUUCGAAAAA